GGUUAAGCGACUAAGCGUACACGGUGGAUGCCCUGGCAGUCAGAGGCGAUGAAGGACGUGCUAAUCUGCGAUAAGCGUCGGUAAGGUGAUAUGAACCGUUAUAACCGGCGAUUUCCGAAUGGGGAAACCCAGUGUGUUUCGACACACUAUCAUUAACUGAAUCCAUAGGUUAAUGAGGCGAACCGGGGGAACUGAAACAUCUAAGUACCCCGAGGAAAAGAAAUCAACCGAGAUUCCCCCAGUAGCGGCGAGCGAACGGGGAGCAGCCCAGAGCCUGAAUCAGUGUGUGUGUUAGUGGAAGCGUCUGGAAAGGCGCGCGAUACAGGGUGACAGCCCCGUACACAAAAAUGCACAUGCUGUGAGCUCGAUGAGUAGGGCGGGACACGUGGUAUCCUGUCUGAAUAUGGGGGGACCAUCCUCCAAGGCUAAAUACUCCUGACUGACCGAUAGUGAACCAGUACCGUGAGGGAAAGGCGAAAAGAACCCCGGCGAGGGGAGUGAAAAAGAACCUGAAACCGUGUACGUACAAGCAGUGGGAGCCUCUUUUAUGGGGUGACUGCGUACCUUUUGUAUAAUGGGUCAGCGACUUAUAUUCUGUAGCAAGGUUAACCGAAUAGGGGAGCCGAAGGGAAACCGAGUCUUAACUGGGCGUUAAGUUGCAGGGUAUAGACCCGAAACCCGGUGAUCUAGCCAUGGGCAGGUUGAAGGUUGGGUAACACUAACUGGAGGACCGAACCGACUAAUGUUGAAAAAUUAGCGGAUGACUUGUGGCUGGGGGUGAAAGGCCAAUCAAACCGGGAGAUAGCUGGUUCUCCCCGAAAGCUAUUUAGGUAGCGCCUCGUGAAUUCAUCUCCGGGGGUAGAGCACUGUUUCGGCAAGGGGGUCAUCCCGACUUACCAACCCGAUGCAAACUGCGAAUACCGGAGAAUGUUAUCACGGGAGACACACGGCGGGUGCUAACGUCCGUCGUGAAGAGGGAAACAACCCAGACCGCCAGCUAAGGUCCCAAAGUCAUGGUUAAGUGGGAAACGAUGUGGGAAGGCCCAGACAGCCAGGAUGUUGGCUUAGAAGCAGCCAUCAUUUAAAGAAAGCGUAAUAGCUCACUGGUCGAGUCGGCCUGCGCGGAAGAUGUAACGGGGCUAAACCAUGCACCGAAGCUGCGGCAGCGACGCUGAUGCGUUGUUGGGUAGGGGAGCGUUCUGUAAGCCUGUGAAGGUGUGCUGUGAGGCAUGCUGGAGGUAUCAGAAGUGCGAAUGCUGACAUAAGUAACGAUAAAGCGGGUGAAAAGCCCGCUCGCCGGAAGACCAAGGGUUCCUGUCCAACGUUAAUCGGGGCAGGGUGAGUCGACCCCUAAGGCGAGGCCGAAAGGCGUAGUCGAUGGGAAACAGGUUAAUAUUCCUGUACUUGGUGUUACUGCGAAGGGGGGACGGAGAAGGCUAUGUUGGCCGGGCGACGGUUGUCCCGGUUUAAGCGUGUAGGCUGGUUUUCCAGGCAAAUCCGGAAAAUCAAGGCUGAGGCGUGAUGACGAGGCACUACGGUGCUGAAGCAACAAAUGCCCUGCUUCCAGGAAAAGCCUCUAAGCAUCAGGUAACAUCAAAUCGUACCCCAAACCGACACAGGUGGUCAGGUAGAGAAUACCAAGGCGCUUGAGAGAACUCGGGUGAAGGAACUAGGCAAAAUGGUGCCGUAACUUCGGGAGAAGGCACGCUGAUAUGUAGGUGAAGUCCCUUGCGGAUGGAGCUGAAAUCAGUCGAAGAUACCAGCUGGCUGCAACUGUUUAUUAAAAACACAGCACUGUGCAAACACGAAAGUGGACGUAUACGGUGUGACGCCUGCCCGGUGCCGGAAGGUUAAUUGAUGGGGUCAGCGCAAGCGAAGCUCUUGAUCGAAGCCCCGGUAAACGGCGGCCGUAACUAUAACGGUCCUAAGGUAGCGAAAUUCCUUGUCGGGUAAGUUCCGACCUGCACGAAUGGCGUAAUGAUGGCCAGGCUGUCUCCACCCGAGACUCAGUGAAAUUGAACUCGCUGUGAAGAUGCAGUGUACCCGCGGCAAGACGGAAAGACCCCGUGAACCUUUACUAUAGCUUGACACUGAACAUUGAGCCUUGAUGUGUAGGAUAGGUGGGAGGCUUUGAAGUGUGGACGCCAGUCUGCAUGGAGCCGACCUUGAAAUACCACCCUUUAAUGUUUGAUGUUCUAACGUUGACCCGUAAUCCGGGUUGCGGACAGUGUCUGGUGGGUAGUUUGACUGGGGCGGUCUCCUCCUAAAGAGUAACGGAGGAGCACGAAGGUUGGCUAAUCCUGGUCGGACAUCAGGAGGUUAGUGCAAUGGCAUAAGCCAGCUUGACUGCGAGCGUGACGGCGCGAGCAGGUGCGAAAGCAGGUCAUAGUGAUCCGGUGGUUCUGAAUGGAAGGGCCAUCGCUCAACGGAUAAAAGGUACUCCGGGGAUAACAGGCUGAUACCGCCCAAGAGUUCAUAUCGACGGCGGUGUUUGGCACCUCGAUGUCGGCUCAUCACAUCCUGGGGCUGAAGUAGGUCCCAAGGGUAUGGCUGUUCGCCAUUUAAAGUGGUACGCGAGCUGGGUUUAGAACGUCGUGAGACAGUUCGGUCCCUAUCUGCCGUGGGCGCUGGAGAACUGAGGGGGGCUGCUCCUAGUACGAGAGGACCGGAGUGGACGCAUCACUGGUGUUCGGGUUGUCAUGCCAAUGGCACUGCCCGGUAGCUAAAUGCGGAAGAGAUAAGUGCUGAAAGCAUCUAAGCACGAAACUUGCCCCGAGAUGAGUUCUCCCUGACCCUUUAAGGGUCCUGAAGGAACGUUGAAGACGACGACGUUGAUAGGCCGGGUGUGUAAGCGCAGCGAUGCGUUGAGCUAACCGGUACUAAUGAACCGUGAGGCUUAACCUU
rnacentral:rRNA from 1 species